UCCCCGGUAGCUCAAUGGUAGAGCACUGUCGCUAUGAAUCCAGCGGAGACGUGCUUGUCUAGAGCCACUACGGGGACUAGAUGGGCAAGGUAAAGCAGUUGACAUGGUCCUGGGUUCAACUCCCAGCCGGGGAC
rnacentral:tRNA from 1 species